UCUCUCUCUCUCUUUCAUUCAAGUGCAGAAGCAUUUGUCGAUGUCAACAACUCUUUAGGACCAGUUCUUAUUGCUAUUAUCCUCUGGACAAAAUUCCCUCUUCUUUCUUUCUGUCUUUCAUUCAAAACAUAGCAACAUCAAUCAAUGUCAAGAGCUCUUGAAGACCGGUUCCCAGACAAAACUCCAUUUUUUCCAUAAGACCCAGAGGUCUCCCCUCAAUUUCUGGCAUUUGAUUGUACUUGGAAGAGAUUGCAAUAUCAAUUGGAGGGUCUAGAUUUUUUUCUUCUUCUGAGGAGUGGGUGCUUAGGAUUUGAUGGACGAUGGGCUCGAGACAGAAAAUGGCUGGUAAGCUUCUUCCCCUUCCACUUCCGGUUCUCCCUCUUGUUCUUCUUCAUCUUCCUCCCUCCCUCGAGCAGUUAGGGCUAAUUUUUUCUGUUUUUCUGAAAAUUUUCCUAAUAUUUCUAUUUUCUUGGCUAAAAGCAGCAAAUCUUUUUUUCCCAUCUCUUUUGUGUCCUUUUGUGAAACAAUGAGAAAGGGGAAGGUCAAUAUUUCAUCUCUGCUAUCUGGUGUGAAUUCCUAGAAUGCAGAUAUGGUACUUUUCUUCCCUUUCUUUCCAUGAUUAAUGUCUCUAUUUCAUUUCUAUUUUAUCGUUGAUUUUUUAUUUUUAAUUAGAAGAAAAACUUUUAAUAUGGUCCGUGAUGAUGAAUAAUUGAUGAUUAGCUGGCUUUUAGAUAUUUAUUUACUUGGUGUUUUGUUGUUCCAUCUUUCGUUCUUGCCCUUCUUGGAUUUUUCUAGAGCUGGGAGGAAAAAUGGCCACCCGUGAAAAACAACUGGUAAGGAAAAACAUAAGUUUUGUUAUAUCAUUCUCAUUUAAUUUUGUCCCUUCCACUCCCAAUUUAGGAUUUGAUGGACGAUGUUUUUUUCCUUUUUUUUUGUUCUUUUGGUGUUACUUUUCCGAGUAUAUAAUUAGUUGUUGUUACAGGAAGGAAUAUGAAGACUUGAAGUUGACAUCUCUAAAUAGUUAAAGCUGGUAAUAUUUAUUUGUGUUCUACUAUUUAUCCUAUAAACCAUAGUCUUUUUCUAUAAACAGUUUCUCUCACCUAAUUUAGCCUAUUUUUGUUUAUUGAGGUUUUUGUCAGAGAAAGGAUAAAGGUAAAAGUGAUUGGAAAAAUGAGCAAAUUUCUUCAAGUGUGUUUUGUGUUUUGGGUUUUAUUGUCUUUGUCAAAGUAAAUUAGAUAUGAAUAUAUUUUUUUUCUCUAUGUUCUUUUCUUUCCUUGGCUGGUGAACAUGAUGAAUCUGUUAUUUAAAUUACCUGGUAUUCUUGGUAAUGUCAAGAUUUGGGAAGUUGUAUGAUGAAAUCUUUAUUUCAUAGUCGAUUUUUCUGGUUUUGUGGUUUUAAUGUGCAAAGUGAAAUCAUUAUUAUGACUAAAUUCCUUGAAGAUGUUUUCACCAGUUCAUGAUUCAUGAAUGCAUUUUUUUUUUCACAAACGUUAACCGUUAUAUAUAUGAUAAACCCUUGAUAAUACAAGAAUUAAUUACAAAAAGGGGCUACUACCCUCAUUUGUUUCCUCACUAAAUCCAUCAGCCAAACUGGGAAAUCUUGUUCCCAUUCCAUAUCAUUCACUAGUUGAACAGCAAACUUAGAUAGAGCAUGGCUGAUUUCAUGAUUCAUGAAUGCAUAGUUAUAUGAAUUAGGUAAAUGAAGUUUCAAAAGCAAAAUCCAUGUAAUCUACUAUGAAGAUACCGUCUUUGCUCUUUUAAAUUAUUGAAGAAACUUGGGUUGAUCUUUCGUUGGAAAAAAUAUGUUCAGAAAAUAGUAUCCCUGUGCUUCACAGUAUUGACCUUUGAUGUUGGACCCAAUUUCGCAUUUUUAGAAAAAAAGAAAAAUUGGAAAAUAAUGCAUAGAAACUUCUCUAAAAUUUAAUUCCACAUAUAUAUACAGUAUUUUGUUCCCUUUGGGGAAAUUUCAUCAGUGACAUUAUUUUUAUUGUUUGAUUUUUGUUGGUAAGACUUGCUUUUAUACUCUCUCAGUAGAUUUCUUCUCUUAUUUCUGUUAUUGCUAUUUUUUAUGAAUUCUUCUUUCUUCUUAGCAACUUUAAAGGUUCUUUUCUCUAUAUGAAUGUGUUAUUAUUGGGGUACAUCUAAUCCUAAUCCUAUUUCUGUAGUAGGAAAUGACCAUACUUCGGGUUUUGUUACCGAAGGAUCUACUCAAUUGCAUGGUGCUGCCUAGACAAGUGCCUCACCCUGCUCUACAGUAUCACUGAUAUUUCCGCCAGCCCUAGGCAUGAAUUCAAAUGCUGAAUGGAAUGGGUAUCAGGUAGUUUGUUUCUGACAUCACUUCUCUAUUUUACACUGCAUUUGUCUGCUUGAGGGCAUUUAUUGUAAGAUCAUGUGUUUAAUGUCCAUCUGAUGUUCAAAUUGUGGUAGUAUCUGACAGAUGGUGUUAUCUUUGCUUGUUGAACACCGUAUAUGAAUUUCAUUUGAUACAUUAGAUGUCACAGAUGCUUUUGAAAAUUUGUCACUGUUUCCAAUUUGUGCUUGUCAAUGUGUAAGGUUUAACAUAUGGGGUAAUAGUGUAGUGAACAAGAGAUGAAGAAACUAAUUCUUAUCUUUUUGUGCCGCGGUAGACUAUCUUUUUACUCACCUUUACUGUGAUGAAGAUCUUCAGAUACUGUGUUUUUUUUUCCUCAGGACUUUGAAGUUAAUUGAAGUUAACAGUCAUUGUUGUUCUCUGUAUCUCUUUUGAAAAUUGACAGGAGGCUCUCAUUCCCAUACUGCAUACAAAGUCAUCUUUAACUGCUUUGUUGUUCCUUUUUUUUAUGGUAUAUAUGCAUAAGCAAGCAAUAGUGCUUUUAAGGUGGAUUUAUUCCAGAUGGAUCAUGAUCUCCUUUAAAAAAUGUUCCCAUGGCAUGAAAAGAGAAAUCCAUCAUUAAAUAAAAUGGGUUUGCUGACAGUUAGCUUUGCAUGCGCUCCGGAGGCCAAGUCUUGUCCCCUAUUUGUAACUUGUGAUUUGUGCUAACAAUAUUGAAGUAUUGUUUUAAAAAAAAAGGGGUUUGUAGAAACAUUUCAAACAAUUAGAGAUUAAUGUGGAGAGAGGUAAGAGAAAAUUAAUAAGCUCAAUUUGCAAAGAGGAAAUAAAUCUCGAUUUUUGUUUGAAACACUAUGAACCUCAGAUUAUGUACAUGCAACCAACCAAAAAUAAAUAAAUACAUAAAACAGAGAGAGAAAGCAGUCAAUAGAUUCAUAACUUUCAUCAUGCAUGUGAAAUUAGUUGGUAAAGUGAAGCUGUUAAUUAUUGUACGAAGUAUUUCCAUUGUAAAUAUAAGCUGCUAGAUGCUUGUUACUGCCGAUGAAGCUCUAAAGUUUUUAUAUUUAGUUUUAGCUCUCUGGUACCAGUUUUUAUUGCUUACUUCCGGUAAUAAUGUCCGCACUUGAUUUUUUUUAGGACUGAUGUUCCUCCAACAUUAUCUGUUUUUUUUUUGUCAAACAUUAUCUGGAGGGUUGUUUUAACUUCCUUGCAAGGAUGUCUCUUGAAAUGGAUUAUGUUUGGAAUAGAUGUGUUUCCAUCUGUUUAUAUGAAUAUGUUAUUAUUAAGGUACAUCCUAUAGUGGUUUUUCCUCACAAAAAAAGCAUGUCUUUGUGUUUGUGUUCCUAAAAAUUUUUCUAAACUUCUCAAUCAUUAUACGGAAUGCAAGUCAUGGUUUUCUUUUCUUUUUUUAUCUCUCUCUCAUAAAGAUUUAGCUGACUUUUUCAAUAUAUUUUUUUAGUAGAUUAUGUUGGACUUGGAGAGAUGGCUGUGUUUUUCAUUUUCUUUCUUCAAGUGGAAGAAGAUGAAGAAGAGUGAAGACAAAAUGAUUGUGAUUUUAAUGGAAG
rnacentral:lncRNA from 1 species